UUGCACGAGUGGUUUCCCACUUCACCCUCAGUCAAGUCAGUCAGUCUCCACCACUCAUUUUUCACCCUUUUCGAAACUUCGAUGCUUGUAAUCAAGAAUGAUAGUUUUACAGGUAUCUGAAGAAGAAGACCAAACGCUGCCUCUACCUCCAACCGAGCUGGGAGUAAGGUCGAUCGCUACACAACGGGUUAGGCAAUCUUUGUCGGGAUUAAGUCAAUUGGCGGUCAAUCUUUCACAGACCACUCGGAACAGAACCAUUGAAGACGAUGAGAAUGAGGAUAUAAUUGAUGUGUCUGGAGUCCGGAAACCAGGGAGGACAAACAUCAUAGUGAUGCAGUCAGAGGAUAUUAAGAAUGGGAAGAAACUAUCUAAGUCACCAAAAAGGACAAUCACAUCCAGGUUUAAGUGGUUCAGAAGGAUAAGCCUGGAGUGAUCCGCCCGAUUGCAUAGGGGACCCCUGGGGUUGCGGAGUGUUCAACUAGCUCUGGCAACAUCACCACCCCAAGUAUGGUUGCUACGGCCUAGUAUUUGAAAUAUUCUUUUAAACUUUACUUUUGUUGGGUUCUUAAGUAACUGUGUCUCAGAUUUUACUCUAAUUUGUGUCCUUUAUUUGCAUGGCCGGUCGGCAGUAGGGUCUUUGUCUCAGCUAGUGUCUAGUGUCUUGAGACUAAUAGCGUAUUUUUUAUUUGGUUACAAGUAGUGUUUUGUAGGACGUGGUAUAUCUUAAUCUUUGGUCAAAUACCUCUUUUGAUGUGGUCUGUUUGUAGGUUGCACCUCCCAUGAAUCGUUCCGUUUAUACCGUAUAUGUUCUAAAUUGUUUCUAUGAUGAUAUAUAAGUACGUAUGUGAAGAACGGAUUUUCACCUUGCUAAUCAAAUACCCACUAUAUUGUUCUAA
rnacentral:lncRNA from 1 species